UCAAUAAGCGGAGGAAAAGAAACCAACAGGGAUUGCCCCAGUAACGGCGAGUGAAGCGGCAACAGCUCAAAUUUGAAAUCCGGCCCCCCCGCGGGGCCCGAGUUGUAAUUUGCAGAGGAUGCUUUUGGCGAGGCGCCUUCCGAGUUCCCUGGAACGGGACGCCGCAGAGGGUGAGAGCCCCGUCUGGUCGGACGCCGAGCCUCUGUAAAGCUCCCUCGACGAGUCGAGUAGUUUGGGAAUGCUGCUCUAAACGGGAGGUAUAUGUCUUCUAAAGCUAAAUACCGGCCAGAGACCGAUAGCGCACAAGUAGAGUGAUCGAAAGAUGAAAAGCACUUUGAAAAGAGGGUUAAACAGUACGUGAAAUUGUUGAAAGGGAAGCGCUCGUGACCAGACUUGGGCGCGGCGGAUCACCCGGCGUUCUCGCCGGGGCACUCCGCCGGGCCCGGGCCAGCAUCAGCUCGCGCCGGGGGACAAAGGCGGCGGGAACGUGGCUCCUCCGGGAGUGUUAUAGCCCGCCGCGCAAUGCCCUGGGGCGGGCUGAGGUUCGCGCGUCCGCAAGGAUGCUGGCGUAAUGGUCACCAGCGACCCGUCUUGAAACACGGACCAAGGAGUCGUCUUCGUAUGCGAGUGUUCGGGUGUCAAGCCCCUACGCGUAAUGAAAGUGAACGCGGGUGAGAGCUUCGGCGCAUCAUCGACCGAUCCUGAUGUUCUCGGAUGGAUUUGAGUAGGAGCAUACGGGGCCGGACCCGAAAGAAGGUGAACUAUGCCUGUAUAGGGUGAAGCCAGAGGAAACUCUGGUGGAGGCUCGCAGCGGUUCUGACGUGCAAAUCGAUCGUCAAAUAUGGGCAUGGGGGCGAAAGACUAAUCGAACCUUCUAGUAGCUGGUUUCCGC
rnacentral:rRNA from 1 species